rnacentral:rRNA from 1 species
UAAAGAGUGAUUAAAGCNACUACCCNCACUGUGGUUUAACUAUNUAUUUAGUUGUAAUAAGCUUAUAUUUAGGAAACUCGANAAACGAAAGUUACUACANNNCUCAAAACAACUUGAACUCACGAUAGCUGAGACACAAACUAGGAUUAGAAACCCUACUAUGCUCAGUCACAAACUCUUAAUUACANNNNNNNNCUUCAAACGCCAGGGAACUACGAGCNAAAGCUUAAAACCCAAAGGACUUGACGGUGCCCCAUAUCCCCCUAGAGGAGCCUGUCCUAUAAUCGAUACCCCCCGUUUAACCUCACCAUUUUUAGCCUAAUCAGUCUGUAUACCUCCGUCGUCAGCUUACCACAUGAGUGAUAUAAUAGUAAGUUUAAUGUCCUNNNNNCUCGUCAAUACGUCAGGUCAAGGUGCAGCUAAUAAAAUGGGAAGAGAUGGGCUACACUCUCUAUUUUAGAACACACGAAUGANUANAUAUGAAANNCUAAUUUCAAGGUGGAUUUAGUAGUAAAAAANGACUAGAGCGCUUUUUU